GAAUGGAAGAUAUAUUAUCUAGAAAAUAAACCUCUUCAAGCUGAUGGUCCAUGAUGUUGUCAGGCUCCAUUUGAUUCUGGAUGCCUCCUUUGGUUAGUAAUUCACCUACUCUUAAUAAUUGCCUGCAAUUUGUAAAUCAACGGUACUUUAAGUAAGCUGACUGGUUGUUCUUUUUCUUUAUCAUCUCAAUAUAGUGAUAGUAACAUAUUUGGGUGGUCUGCAAUGUGUACUUGUACUUGUACAUUUCAAGGUAUAUAAUAGUGAUGCUUGUUACACUAAUAUGUCACAUAGGCAAUGGUGUCCAAGAUAUUCAGAAUAUUGUGAGCGAUGGGCCAAGCCUGAAUAUAUAUGCGUAUCGGUGGAUGAGGAGUAGAAUGACAAGGAGUUGAGCGAUUAGGCUAACUCAAUUAUUUUAGGUAUUUCAUAGUGUUGCUUUCCAUUGUUAGUUCAAACUGAAUAUUUGUUCAACAAAAAACAAGAAGUUUUUGAGUCAUGCCUUUUGUUUUCUUCAUUAGAGAUCCACCCAAUGAAAUGAUCGGGGGUAAGUAAACCCAUUGAGUUGAUGACAUCAUGUGACCGCCGGAACGGCAUGACGUGGACACCUAUGGCAAGGACAGUUGUUGUCCGCGCAUGCGCUUAGCCAUUGAGCCCGUGGCCUUAUUCCUAUAGAUGUACCCCAUCCUCCUAUCCCUUAAUCCUCUAUGGUUGCUGACAGAAUUUGCAGGUUAUUUGACAUGAUUUACGUCACAAAUCUGAAUUUCUCUAGACCUGGCAACUCCUCUUGUCCUUCACAGUCCUUGGAUUCACUGGAGUCUGGACACAGCAGGCAUGCAAAAGGCCCGGUUUCAGUUUGUCCAGAGAUGAGUCAAGUAGACAGGGAAUGGAGGGAAUAGUUUUCUUUGAACUUCUAAAGUUUUGGGAGGAACACCCUGUUUCCAAAUCUUAGCUCCGCCACUGAUAGGUGGGGUUCCCACCAAGGAGGCAGCAUCCACUUCUUCGGAGGACUAGGCCAGAAGUCCCAUGAGCAUCUGCGGAAUAGGAGGAGUCAUAGGAGGCUGAGAGUGAUGAAAGGGAGCACGAGAUGGUGCUCUCGCUGCAAGAUAGGGAGCUAUGCCAAUAGUCGUUGUGGGCUUGUGGCGCUGGUCGCGUGGGCGCAUCACCAACCAUAAUCGUCCAGGCUGUGGCACGGGGGUCGUGUUUUCUGUUGGCCCGACGAUUACACCACCGCGAUGAUAAGGCGACUCCCCCAACCCGAUGGUUAUAAGUUACAGGUUUCCUCUUUCCUUACAUUCCGUCGUGAUGGCACAGUCAUGCGUGCAGUGCCAGCAAUGAGACCAGCAUCGCGUCCCAUCACUGGAUCUACUAAUGAGGGGAAGGAAGAAGGAAGAGCGCAUGUUUUGUAUGGACGCUUUCUUGGGAAGCUAAUGAUUUGAAUCCUUCUGUGAAAGGAAACAGGAAGCUCGGUCUAUUUGUUAAUUAUAAGUGCCUAUUCUUUUACAGGAAACAAUUUAUUCUUCAGUCUCAUUGCCUUUAUAUGGAAGACGACACCAAAAGAGAAGUCUGGGGAGUUGCUUGGUCCUAUGGCAUGUGAAAAUUAGAAUCAAUUGAUGGACGAGCGAUUGAAUCAACAAUUCAACAUGCUGCAAGUUGGGUAGAGGAAUUGAAAUGUAGGUUUGGUUCAGAGGUCUUUUUCUUCAGCGUGUGAUUCAGAUUACAAAUACAAUACGUACUGAGCAUACCAGCGUUUCCACGGCGAACCCCACCAAACUGCCAGCCUAGAUGCACAAGCCUACACCGAUGACGCCCCUUAGGUUUCGGUCUCCUCUGGUGAAUCCUUCAUCGAUACCUUGUUUUCAGUUUCUUCAGAGUCCAGUUGGUUGCCAGUCGAUGGCAGGCAUAUGCAUCAUCUUUCCGUCAAUUUCCCAUCACUGCAUCUUGUUUUCAGUUUCUUUAUAAUCGGCGGUCGGUGACACGACAUCCAUCUUCGUAUAGCACUAGAUGUGUUGCAAACAGUUUGCUUUACCUGUUUGUCGAUUUUUACUCGUGCGGAUCUUUCUAUGCUUUGUGUGGUUCCGACGGUGGUCGCCAUGAUCGAGGUUCCUACCAUCCUGUUCGGUCGAUCACGAGACCAUGGAAUAUCACGACGGAUUCAGUCGUCGACCAAUGUAGUCAGACAGAAAGCUUGACAUUUGCAAAUGGAACAUAAGCACUCGGUGUUAGAGCCACUGCCAGUUGACAAGGCCAUUGAUGUGGUCAAGAUCAGGUUUUGGAUUGGAUAAUGAGCCUCUUUCAGAGAGAAUUACAUCAUAAUGCAUCAUACAUCAUAAUGCAUCAUACAUAGUUGCCUGGAUAAAUUAUGAUUAUGUAUAUUCACUAUGAUUGUUGAUUCCGAAGUCUUCCAGGGAACAAGAUGCCCCACUUGUUAUCAUGUUGUGUGGAUUAAAACAAAUUUAUCACCCAUGGUGUUUAUAAAGCUUAGCCAAAAUUUAUCAAGGAGGAGCGCUCGAGGCAUGCGAUCAUUGGCAAGUAAAUCCAUCUAAGGAGGAGCACUCGAGGCAUGCAAUCAGUUCUGUAGAAGAAGGGGAGGUGCUGGUUGCAGGGUGCUGGAGCUGAGACGACCACAUGCAUGUCUGAUAAGAACAGGCUCAUCGAUGUCACCUCCCUCACCUUUGUCAUCUGCUGUUGUGAUGCGGAUCAAUCUAAACAUGUUUUUUUGGUUAGUUUGUCUAUUUUUUAGGGAUAAACUUCAUUAAUUGAAGCAGCAUAUGUUGGAGAAUGUAGAUUCAGCAUUUGUUUGAGUAGCUUUGGAGGUAUUCUAUACGACCUAUGAGUGAUAUACCCUCCUCUCUCCUCCACCCAUUUCACUCAAGUAGUCAAGUUAACCCAGUACACACAUGUGUAGUCUGCCUUUAGGUGGUUUUCCCUUCGCUACAUAUAAUGUAGUUUUAUGAAUUUUUGAGCUCUUAUUAUACCAGACUAAGUGGUUAUAUUGUAUA